GGGGCGGGGACGGACGGACGGACGCAAACAAGUGGUCUCGCAGCCACUUGGCCCAGUACAACCUUUGAUGUACAAUUAUGACCAUCCUUCUGGUAAUACAUGCUUUAUGUGACAUGAAAUGGUGUAUAACAGAUUAAUUCCAAAAGUGUUUACUUUUGAUUUGUUUUUGUAUCACAAAGACAGUAUAUUAACCAUGUGAUUUUUGGUAAAAAGAUGCCAUAUAUUGAAAUGGAUGGGAUAUAUGUUAAUGUUUGAUUAUAUAAGCAAUUGUAGAAUUUUAGGGGAAAACAAUAUUUUUUUUCUGCCCUGUACACGGAAUAAACUAACCUCUCUGUGUUUGCUCCUUCAUUUUGUCUCGCUUGUCUGUGAGACAUGAUGAACAUAAUGAAAUGCCAAACUAAAAUAUGUUGGUCUGUUGGAACUCUAUAUUUU
rnacentral:lncRNA from 1 species